CAGAGAAUGGGAGCUCAAGCUUUCUAGAGAACAAAGGAUAUGCAAAUGAACAUGCUGUAUUUAACCAGUGUCCUUAGGAAUUAACUGGUCCUCUGGAAGUCCAGAGAGUAAGUCUUGGAAGACUACACAGCCAUGAAGGAUGCUCACAUCACCCUCCAGGACUGCUUUGGAGAAAAGCGUGCUGCUGCCAUCAGGAAAUACCACCACAGCUCAUUUGCUGAGUCUGGGCACUGGCUGGUGCCAGGAACUCUGCUGUCACUUCCAUCAGAAAAUAAACUCUGUGAAGCAUCUGCAUCCUCCCUUUUCCUUCUUCUCUAACAAAAUCUCAAUUGGCUAUAUUUGAUUGGUGGAGCCUAGGUUACAUGUCUACGUCUCUGUUGCAAAGGAGGUUGGGAAAAUAAGUUAUUUAUUUUUCCUUAAAAGGCAGAACUCAUAAGAACUUCUCCAAAUAUAAGAACAUUGUUCAAAAGAUGCCGUUGGCCACAAACAUGACAUAUGUCUGCCUCACUUUCCAUAACUCUGCCAGCAUUAAAUGAUUAAAUUGUUU
rnacentral:lncRNA from 10 species